CGAGGAUCGCUCUAUGUAUGGGGUUUUCUUGGAAAACUGUAUUUUGUUUUUAUAUAUUUUUCGCUCAUUUCAUUGAAAGGCGAUCCUCGUCAUAGUAACAAAUCAUCAGGUUGCCAAGACCUAUUGAAUGAGACAUGUUUCGUUUCUGUUGGUGGGUGGGGACAGUGCCCAUACAAAUUUGCCCAUGGUCCUUUGAGAGAUUUA